rnacentral:rRNA from 1 species
UAUCUCUGUAGAGUCUGCAUAUCAAUAAGCGGAGGAAAAGAAACUAACUAGGAUUCCCUUAGUAACGGCGAGUGAAGCGGGAAGAGCUCAAAUUUGAAAUCUUCAAGGUUUACCUUGACGAAUUGUAGUUUAAAGAAGUGUUUUCUGUUGGUGUUUUGGUAAAAGUUCUUUGGAAUAGGACAUCAUAGAGGGUGAGAAUCCCGUAUUUGACCAUUACUUUCCAGCGUUGUGAUACACUUUCAAAGAGUCGGAUUGUUUGGGAAUGCAGUCCAAAAUGGGUGGUAAAUUUCAUCUAAAGCUAAAUAUUGGCGAGAGACCGAUAGCGAACAAGUACCGUGAGGGAAAGAUGAAAAGAACUUUGAAAAGAGAGUUAAACAGUACGUGAAAUUGUCAAAAGGGAAGCGUUUGACACCAGUGUUGUUUUCUCGAAAAUCAAUUAAAAAAGGCAGGAUUUUGUGUUGUAUUGACUUUAUCAGCUUUCUGCACUCUUUUCUUGUCUUUUUUAAUGCACUUUUCGUUUAACAAGUCAACAUCAAUUUCUUUUGUUGUAAAAGGGUCAUUGGAAGGUGGCUUUCUUUUCGGAGAAAGUGUUUAUAGCCUUUGGCCUCUGCAAUCGGAGAGAUUGAGGUCUGCAGCGUAGAUCCUUCGGGGUUAGAUACAUUUGUGCUAAGUUAUAGCCAUUCAUAGACAACUUGUUGACUAUGAUCAGUCAUGUAGCUUACUCGCUUAUGCUAUUUUACCUACGCUUAGGAUGUUGACGAUCAGCUGAGCGCG